GAUGAACGCUGGCGGCGUGCCUAAUACAUGCAAGUCGAGCGAACAGACGAGGAGCUUGCUCCUUUGACGUUAGCGGCGGACGGGUGAGUAACACGUAGGUAACCUACCUAUAAGACUGGGAUAACUUCGGGAAACCGGAGCUAAUACCGGAUAAUAUUUCGAACCGCAUGGUUCGAUAGUGAAAGAUGGCUUUGCUAUCACUUAUAGAUGGACCUGCGCCGUAUUAGCUAGUUGGUAAGGUAACGGCUUACCAAGGCAACGAUACGUAGCCGACCUGAGAGGGUGAUCGGCCACACUGGAACUGAGACACGGUCCAGACUCCUACGGGAGGCAGCAGUAGGGAAUCUUCCGCAAUGGGCGAAAGCCUGACGGAGCAACGCCGCGUGAGUGAUGAAGGUCUUCGGAUCGUAAAACUCUGUUAUUAGGGAAGAACAAACGUGUAAGUAACUGCGCACGUCUUGACGGUACCUAAUCAGAAAGCCACGGCUAACUACGUG
rnacentral:rRNA from 1 species